rnacentral:rRNA from 1 species
GCUGGCGGCGUGCUUACCAAUGCAAGUCUNAACGGUAACAGCAGAGCUUGCUCUGGCUGACGAGUGGCGCACGGGUGAGUAAUAGAUAGAUAAUGUACCCCUUAGUCUGGGAUAGCCACUGGAAACGGUGAUUAAUACUGGAUACGCCUUUUUAGCGUAAGCUAAUUUGGGAAAGGUCUUUCGCUAAGGGAUCAGUCUAUCUCCCAUCAGUUAGUUGGUGAGGUAAGAGCUCACCAAGACGAUGACGGGUAGCGGGUUUGAGAGGAUGAUCCGCCACACUGGAACUGAGACACGGUCCAGACUCCUACGGGAGGCAGCAGUGAGGAAUAUUGCACAAUGGGGGGAACCCUGAUGCAGCAACGCCGCGUGGAGGAUGACGCAUUUCGGUGUGUAAACUCCUUUUAUCAGAGAAGAACAUGACGGUAUCUGAUGAAUAAGCUCCGGCUAACUCCGUGCCAGCAGCCGCGGUAAUACGGAGGGAGCAAGCGUUAUUCGGAAUCACUGGGCGUAAAGGACGCGUAGGCGGGUUAGUAAGUCAGGNGUGAAAUCCUACAGCNUCAACUGUA